AUUACUCCCGGCUGCCAUGUUUUGCUCCCUACCACAUUUUCCUUCUUUGUGCCCCUAAUGAUGGACACCUGGAGUGCCUUCAACUCUUAGUCCCCCAAAAUCAAGGCUAUGAUGAGGAUGUCCACACACCUUCCGUCCAAGACCAGCGUGAGAAUUUAUCUUGCAGUGUUCCCAGCGUUCUGGGUCUGAGAGCUCUGGACCUUCCAGAAAUGGAAGGGCAAAAGGAGAGAGAAGGGGAGAUAAAAGGGGAAGGAGAGAGCACAGUGAAGACAUGAGGACCGGUCUGCAAGAGUUUGCAUCCGCCCAGAAGGAAUGAAGAAACAAGCACCAAAAACAGUUUCACAACCUACGGAUAAAGCUCAAAGACCUUUUCCUACCUACUGGUAGUUAGAUGUGAAAGAUCGCUUUCCUCCGACUUCUUUGCUUUGCCUGGCUGAGGAGACACCGCAGACUUCCUCCACCGCAUGGCCUUGCAGCCACAGACCCAAAGUGCAGGGAGUGGUCCAGUUAAAAAUCUGGGCACACAGGAAAAGCCAGCGUCAAAGGACAACCCCAUUCGCCUCACAAAAAAAAAAAAAAAAAAAAAAA